rnacentral:rRNA from 1 species
GACGAACGCUGGCGGCGUGCUUAACACAUGCAAGUCGAACGGAAAGGCCCUGGUUUUGUGGGGUGCUCGAGUGGCGAACGGGUGAGUAACACGUGAGUAACCUGCCCUUGACUUUGGGAUAACUUCAGGAAACUGGGGCUAAUACCGGAUAGGAGCUCCUGCUGCAUGGUGGGGGUUGGAAAGUUUCGGCGGUUGGGGAUGGACGCGCGGCUUUUCAGCUUGUUGGUGGGGGAGUGGCUGACCAAGGAUUUGACGGGUAGCCGGCCUGAGAGGGUGACCGGCCACAUUGGGACUGAGAUACGGCCCAGACUCCUACGGGAGGAAGCAGUGGGGAAUAUUGCAGAAUGGGCGGAAGACUGAUGCAGCAACGCCGCGUGCGGGAUGACGGCAUUCGGGUUGUAAACCGCUUUCGCCUGUGACGAAGCGUGAGUGACGGUAAUGGGUAAAGAAGCACCGGCUAACUACGUG